UACCACUUAUACUGCUACGAAUUUAUUAAGUAUAUAUUAAUAAUUAUAAUUCUUUUUAAACAGAAAAUUACAGUUCGGUUUUAAAAGAUGAAUUAAGUUUAGAAACAAAUUCUGUCAUCAACAAUACUCCAGGUAAAAUGCUUGAUAGAUUUUAUUUACAAAACAAUAAUCGUAAAAAGCAACUUACUGUCAUCAUAGAUCACCCAUGAUCAUUUUAUUUAUGCUCGUUAAGGAAUCAAGAGUCACCUGAUAAGUACAGAUUGUGUUUAAAUUUAAAUGUUGCCUUUGUAAAUACUAGAGUUCCAGCGCUUAAUAUAAACUCAUAAAGUAAUGACGUGUGUGUAUCUACAAUUACAUGUUGUGUAGUCUUCCUCGCGUAUAACCCAAUAAUUAUUUUGUUUUACCUUGCUGCUGGCGUGCAACAAAAAAAUACAGUGAUGUGAAACAACAAGUUUAGAUGUAACAACACCAAGUAGUGAUUUUAGAUCUUACAUCAGUUUUUUUUGACAACUACAUUCGGCUCUACUUAUCGUAAAAUGAAUUUUAAAAAAGAUGCAGAGACUGGUGAGGAAAUAACAAGACUGAAUUUAGAAACCGGAGAAGUGGAAUUUAUAAUAACAUCUAAAAAACUACCAGCAAAGCCCAAAGUCUUCAGAAUACCGACAUCAUGCAUGAAUCUAAAAAAGAGAGAAGAAAAAAUAAAGUUUGACAGUUCUCCUACAUUUACAGCGGCGCUUGUAUUCCUAUUACCAACAACCAUAUUUUUUUCUCCAAUCCUUGGACUCCUGGUUGUUUUGAUUGAAGUUAUCAUUCACGUUUGGGCUCACAGAAAAAAUAAACUGAUCAGACACAAAAACCUGUACUACCAAAGUCCACUUCACAUAAUCUGCAAAGAGUACUGCGGAGCGUGCAAAGAAGAAGAAUCCAAAAUAAAGAUAACCAAGUUUCAGGAGAAAAGAGCUGAUAAAUUUAAGAAAUACGGUUUCGAAUACUUUAAGAGAAUUGUUACGUAGCAAUAACAAUCGUUCAACACCAUUGCCAGGAUUUUGUUUGUUUAAUGUUUAUAAACGAUUAGCUAAAAUCCUAAAGAUGUGACAAUCUCACUAAUGAUUAAAAUGUUAUCUCAAUACUGUUAGGUACGGGUACUGCAUGUUCUUAAUUUGUAGUCGAUAAUUUGUUGUUAUAGUUGAUAUUUUAAUAAAACACAUGUUUAAAACUGUUCGAAAAUAA